rnacentral:lncRNA from 1 species
GGUUUGCAGGCUGGCCGAAGGCGGUGUCUGCUAGAGAUGCUCUAAGUAAGUAUCUUCUUAGCAUGUAUUGCUCUUUUAUUUGCUAUUUUCCCAGAAUUAGGGAUAGUACCUUCAAAUUAUGGUCUCAUCUAUAUGUUGGCUUCCAUCUAUUCUAGCUUGUGCCAUAUCAAGGGUUUUCGCUAUCUAAUUUGGUGGAUAAUAGCUUUGUUCGCAUAGAGAUUAUCCCUGGGAUCAUCAUUAGGCUAUUGGUUGUUCCUGGCCAUUCUCAUGAAUUUACUUUAGAUUUGAAUUUAUAAUCAAACACAACAAUUUAUAUUUAUCUUAGUAUGAUGGUAUGUCACCUAUCCUAUUUUCUGCAAGUACACAUGAAUCUAUAAUCCAGAUUAUAAGCACAUCCUUUACUACAACAAUGUGGGAUAUAUUGAAAAGUGUACUACUUAUGUGGUGAAUAUCUUCAAUUCAUCACACAUACUCAUAAAUUAAUGAAUCUAUAUAUGUUGCAUGUUAUGUCCAUGUGUUAUACACGAAAUAGUAAGAAAGCAAGUGGAAUGUGCGCUUGCCAGCGUGGCACCGCCCAGCUUCCUCUCAAG